rnacentral:rRNA from 1 species
UGAGGAAUAUUGGACAAUGGUCGGAAGACUGAUCCAGCCAUGCCGCGUGCAGGAAGACGGCCUUAUGGGUUGUAAACUGCUUUUGCAGGGGAAGAAUAAGGACUACGCGUAGUUUGAUGACGGUACUCUGCGAAUAAGCAUCGGCUAACUCCGUGCCAGCAGCCGCGGUAAUACGGAGGAUGCGAGCGUUAUCCGGAAUCAUUGGGUUUAAAGGGUCCGUAGGCGGGCUAAUAAGUCAGAGGUGAAAGCGCUCAGCUCAACUGAGCAACUGCCUUUGAAACUGUUAGUCUUGAAUGGUUGUGAAGUAGUUGGAAUGUGUAGUGUAGCGGUGAAAUGCUUAGAUAUUACACAGAACACCGAUAGCGAAGGCAUAUUACUAACAAUUAAUUGACGCUGAUGGACGAAAGCGUGGGGAGCGAACAGGAUUAGAUACCCUGGUA